rnacentral:lncRNA from 1 species
UUUUUUUCCCCCUUUAAUAAUUUUUUUUCUCCCUCAUAUAAUUUCAGUGGAACGUCAUCUCAGUAGUUAAAACAGCUUUCACCCUCCACAGGUUCUGGCUGCAGUUCAGCACAGAAGAUGGACCUGGACCCGGUUCAGCCAUCUCUCUUGACAACAUCUCAUUUAGUAUGGACUGCUUCCUGGCAUCCAACGGCGAGUUUCCGCCAGUGGUCACCAGCGCAACCAGGCUGCCUUUUAGACCAACUGUCAAGACUAUACCCCCGUCCUUAGGAAGGCCUUUCAUGAUCAUCCCCACCCCAGGCUACUCCAAAAAAUGGAUUUUUCAUACCUGUGGGGCUGCGGGCCCUGAGGGCCC